GGGCUGAUGGCGGCCGUGACGUUGGACGAGUCCGGGGGCGGCCUCCAGACGCCCGGAGGAGGGCUCAGCCUCGUCUGCAAGGCCUCCGGGUUCACCUUCAGCAGUUACGGCAUGAACUGGGUGCGACAGGCGCCCGGCAAGGGGCUGGAGUGGGUCGCUGGUAUUAAUGCUGCUGGUAGUAGCACAAACUACGGGGCGGCGGUGAAGGGCCGUGCCACCAUCUCAAGGGACAACGGGCAGAGCACAGUGAGGCUGCAGCUGAACAACCUCAGGGCUGAGGACACCGGCACCUACUUCUGCGCCAAAAGUGCUUAUACUGGUCGUGGUUGUUGUGAUGCUUACAGUAUCGAUGUCGCUCCAGGACAGAAUGGAGGAUUGA